rnacentral:rRNA from 1 species
UCUCCGUAGGUGAGCCUGCGGAGGGAUCAUUA